rnacentral:lncRNA from 1 species
UGGGUUGGGUGUGAGGGGCGCACCAGCCCACCCAGGGGCUGGUUCCCUCUCACACUUGGCCCAUGUAGCCUCCUGGGGCUGGUGGCCUCUCCCGAUGGGCCUCCGAAACCCUUCGGUGGUCCCGACACUUUGCCGGUGGUGCCCGAAACAUUUCCGGCGUCCAAACUCAUCCAUCUUAUAUAUCAAUCUUUACCUCCGGACCAUUCCGGAGCUCCUCGUGACGUUUGGGAUCUCAUCUGGGACUCCAAACAACCUUCGGUAACAUCCAGUAUGGGUAGAGAAAGCGGUUGUGUCGAUCACCAAUGGACAAUGGUAGGCGUGACACAAAGUCAAAUGAACGGCCACACUGUGAAAUAAGAAUAUUGUCUUCUCUCUUACUCAUUUCAUUGACUAAGUGACAAAGUAGGGAAAUCUACUCUCAUUGUAAACAAUAACAAACAACUUGAAAAAUGUAAUUUUGAAGAGUCUAAUAGAAGGAGACGGACAACAAUGUAAUUUAACAAGGUCACACUGAAUAUUUUGGGCAGCCGACACCACUACAGUGAGCAUUGUGCGAAUUAUGUCCAACAAAAAAAUAAGACUGAACUGCUACAUGCACUUGUGUGUGACCUAACUCAGCAUUGAUAUGACUUUUCACAUGGUUAAGGCCUGAAAAUGAGAAUCAAUAACUGAAGAGGUUCUUAGUUGGGAUAGUUCAUCCCUGAAAAGGUUGUAACCCCUCUUCAUUGCUUUACUACCUAAAUCAUUUUUUAUUAGAUCUCCCAACUCUAUACAUGCAUUAGUUACCUCGCACUUUGUGAUUAUGGAGAGAUUAACAAGAUAAUGUCGGUGUAUAGUGUACUCUUGGGAGUCCUUGGCAUCCAUGGGCGCCCCAAAAAAGCUGCAUAUAUUAAAGAAAAAUGAUGCGAGCAAAACUAAAAUGAUAACAUCAAUUAGAUAAUAUACAUGGACAAACUAUAUCAAUAAAAACAAAGAAUCUAUGAGUAAAGAAUAAUGUGGAAUGCUGCUAGGGGAACGUGGAACAAAGAAGUUCCGCAAGCCUCUUCAGUGUAUUCCUUGAAAAGUAAUACGAAACAACUAAUAUAAACAUAUAGUGAAAGCCAAGGAAGCAAAGCCAUGAAAAGAAGCAUGGUCAGCCUGUCCGGACACUGGUGGUGAAGAAGGUAUCCCCCAUGGACCGUGCUUCAUCCUGGUAUCUUAUACUCCAGUCAACAUCAUAUAAAAUCACAGUUGGCAAAUGUAGUAAACAUACCAAUUUCUUUCAAAAUAGAAAUUCCCUUUCAUGGUGUACAUUUGAAACUAGAUUUAGAAGUAGGCAUACACCGACUAACUUCACCUCUUGAGUUUUGAAAUAUAUUAAAUGUUGUACAAACAGAACCCAUGAGAUUAAACAUUUGCAAAUUUUUCUUGCACCAAAAUUGCACUUACCAAGUCCCCAUAGCAUCACCCUCCAAGGUAACAAAAAAGUAAUUGAUAUGUUAGCACACAACCACAAAAUUUACAAAACUGAAAAUAAUGCACAACUUAACAAGUUGGCCUCAUUAGCAGAUAAUCUUCAUCCAAAAUAACACCAACUUCAUUUAUCUUAUACCGGUGAUGCUGGAGCUAAGAGGCUGAAUUCGUCAAGGCCGUUGGAAUAGAAAUCCUUGCUCUUGACCGAUCUUCAUGGAGAAUACAAUUAUGAUUACUGGCAGGAUGAUUUUGUUCCUUGUAGGUUGCAGUAACAUCUUUACAUAUCUCCCUAAAGGAACAUAUUUAAUGGGAAUAAUUGAGCAGAAAUAUACAAUCCUAUAUACACUACACUAAGAAGGACGAGCAGUUAGUAUUUGGUUCAUCUAAUCCAUUUUGACGUACUAAAUCCAAUGGUCUUGAGAACCUGGCAACCCGUGCAAGUGUACCAUAUGCCCAUAUGUGCAAGCUCCAACUCGUUGAGAAGGUAUUAGUAUAAUGAGGAAGCAGUGUUAGGGCCUGUUCGGAAGCCCUCCGCUCCGUAACCCCACUCCCGGAGUUGGUGGAGCAGCACUUAAAAAUCGUGAAGCCGGGAAAAGGAUGCUCCACAAAUCCUCAGAUUUCACGGAGUUGGAGUAUCGCCGAACAGCUCCUUAGUAUUGUGGAAAGUUUAAAAGUACCUAGGAAAACUGAAAGAAAAUUAUUCAAACGCACUUCAACUCGUGUCGUCGACAUGUCCACAAAAACUGUAGCAAAGUUCCUCGUGCUAGGACAGAUGCAGUAUCUAGCCUCAUGUCUUCUUUCAAGGAAGUUAUAUGACAAAUACUUAAAUAAUUGGAAAUUCACGCACCACAACUAUUGCAUAGAAUCCAAGAUCUGUCGGCAAAAUAAGCAAAUACAGCUACUGGAAAUCUUGUUAAAACAAAAAAAAAACGCACUUAUACAAACAAUUGAACAUAUGCUCAAAUAGAAGUGUUCGAUUCAGAAAUUCCUUGCGCGUUCAUGGGAUCGAUGUGGCUCCCAACUCGGACAUGGAUACAUGUAGGUGUAUGUUCUCAUCAGGACUUGGGGGGAUCAGAUCAGAUUAGUUUCGUCUACUCCAUCCAGCGCAAGAAUUUCUAGAUUUACUUCUUGUGGAACUUGUGAUCAGCUCAGAUCAAUUGAUCGACCAUGGUUGUCGUCCUCGAUGAGGCGUACCUGAGUUCGAUGGCGGAGGUCCCGGAGCUAUUGAUGGCGGUCCACGAGGCACUGGCGGCGCCGGACAUGGCGAUCCAUGUCCCGAACAGGCAUCCACGACCGGGGCCGAGGGUCCCCUCCUGUUGGCCACGACCGAGGAUCGUGACGGAGGGAGGUUGUAGAGCAGAGGGACGCCAUUCACGGGAGGGAGGGAAAUGAGUGGGGGUGUGGCCGAGCGGAUAGGGAUCCUGGAGGGGUUCGAUCAGUCCUAGCCAAACGGGCCGGGCCGGCCUACGUGCCCAGCCUUCCGGCCCAGUCACGACACGGAAGCUAUACGGACCGGCUCGUGG